rnacentral:misc_RNA from 1 species
GGAUAACCAUGCACAUCAGAACUCUUUGGUGGCAAGACCAGUGAGCCAUGGUGGGGCAGAAAAUUUCUCCUCUGAUUCAGAGAACAGUGAAACUACGAACUCGCCCGUUGAUGACUUGCCAAAUAACAGAGAUCCGAUUUCGGAUAUGGUUGUUUUUAAAUACUGUCUCGCUGAUCUCAACGAGAGGCGUCUUCUUCUCAAGGAAAUGGCAAUGACUGCUAAAGAAGAAGAACUUGCAACCUUUGCCGAGAGAGUCUCUUUAUUCUCU